GGAGACUCGGGGCUGCCGGGUGCUGACGGACCACGAGGAGUUCCUGGAAUGCGUGGUCUUCCCGGUGAGGAGGGAGCGAGCGGAGCGCAGGGUGCGAGAGGAGCACCUGGACAGAAAGGAUCACCUGGGCCAAGAGGAUCUCCUGGCACGCCGGGGCCUUCAGGGCCCUCUGGAGCAGACGGACUCC